UGCAGGCCAGGCUGCCUGCUUCGCUCUCCUCACUACUGGAUAAUGGAGAGCCCAAUGGGACCAGGUGACCCUUUACCGACUCCAGCGGAGGUAAACAAGUCAGAAAGAGGAGAGGACGUGUGCGCGGAGAAGGUAGAGGCCCACUGAGACAGAGCGAGGAAGACUUCUCAGCUGUAAACCAAAUCGAUAAACAAUCUGAAGAGGUGCCUGGGAGAUGGGGAAUACAUAAGAGGUGACUCUGGUUUUUCAGGACCGUGGUCAGCUCACUGAGUGAAGAAUUGGUCCAGAGUUUAAACAGACCCUGAUGAUGUGGGAUGCGUGGUGUUCAGCCUGGCAUCCACACAUCCACUUCCCCAGAGGCUCCAAACAUGGAAAGGGCUACAUCACAAACGCAUCAGCUGCUAUUUAUAGAGAGCCAUUUCCCCAGGGAGCCUGGCAUCAGUGACCCUCUCUUGGAAAACAUUACCCAUGGGCCUACUAGUCCGUGUGUGUGUGUGUGCUGGAGAGAGUUAAAGAGUAACAUUCGGCUGCAGCAUGCUGAGGAAAUAUCCUGAUCUAUGUGCUCCUGUCCGAGGCCUUCAAGCAUUCGUUAUUUCAAACACACCUUCUCUGGGAGCUGAGAAUGCCUUCCAAAUAAUAAACUGCACUGUUCGAUGUCAAGAAGCGAUGGCAGUCCUAAUGUGGCUCAAAAGAAGGAGAGCCCCGGUUUUAUUGUAGUGAUGACAGGAGAGCACCAGAAUAAAAUAUUGAUGCUCCUCUGGAGGCCAAGGAUUAGAUAACCUCUCACCCUCCCUUUUCAGCGGCUUGUAUAAAUCCCCAAACAGGGAUGCAGUCCUGGGAUCGCCUUAUGUAAUAUCUCACUGCACCGACUGCUAAAGCUCGGAAAGCCUUGCUUGUAAUGGAGAGGCUCUGACGUCUCGCUGCUGCUGUGGACCAGGGUUCAGACCGAAUGCAAUCUAAAUGCAAAACUGGCUAUUAAUCACUCUGCUCCCUGGAAGCACACAUCAAGCAGAGUCCUUAUCUGAGGAAUGACUGGCUAGCUGCACAUCCCUGCAGUCCUAUGCAAGCAUAAGGGUUGCCUGCCUCUCACAGCAGCCCAUUGUGGAGACGGAACAAAUACGUCCUGAAAUGACCCUCAGAAAUACGAAUGUUACAUCAUUUUUUCCCGUCAGCACUGUCCAUGUAACGCAGUGCUACAGUGUCCUCUGUGAUGUCACAAACGGAGUUAGUUUUUUUUAGCUUUCCUUUUAACAAUCUUACUAAAGUGUCAAAUGCA